UGGUUUGCUACAGCUCUAGUAUUUAAUCCAUGCUUCUCUCGUUCAAAGAUCGCAGCUAUCUGUUUAUCUCGUUAUCUGUUUAUUUUUCAGUAGAUAAUGGACAGGUUACUUAUCACUUAGAAUUAGUUAUAUUAUGAAAGUUGUUCCGAUCGAGUCGUAACCUGAUUGUAUCCUUAUUGAUAGUGUUUCUAAUUGUUUGUGAAGUUGAAAUGGCUACUUCUCGCAUUCUUGUUUUGAAGAAACACAUGUCUUCCAAAGCUGCAUCUACGAUGAUAAAAAAUGUGACAGUUAUUGGCGGCGGGCUUAUGGGAUCUGGAAUCGCACAGGUGGCAGCCCAGACGGGACACCAGGUGGUGCUGUGUGAGGUCAGCGACCAGGCCCUGCAGAAGUCCCGCAGCAGCAUCCAGACCAGUCUCCAGCGAGUGGCCAAGAAACAGUUCAAGGAUAAACCUGCAGAAGCAGAGAAGUUUGUGAAUGAUUCGCUUGCAAGACUGAACACCUCUCUCAACGUCGAGGAGUCUGUGAAGUCCGCAGACUUGAUCAUCGAGGCGAUAGUCGAGAACUUGGAGGCCAAGCACAAGUUGUUCUCCAACCUGGACGCUGUAGCACCCAGCCACACCAUAUUUGCGUCCAAUACAUCAUCACUGUCCAUCGAGGAGAUUGCAUCUGUCACCAAGAGGCAAGACAGGUUUGGAGGCCUACACUUCUUCAACCCUGUUCCUGUGAUGAAGCUGCUGGAGGUGGUGCGCAUACCGCAGACGUCGGACGACACGUACCACCGCAUGAUGGCGUGGGGCGCGGCCAUGGGCAAGACCACCAUCACGUGCAAGGACACGCCGGGCUUCGUGGUGAACCGCCUGCUGGUCCCCAACCUGGCCGAGGCAGUGCGCAUGCUGGAGAGAGGAGAUGCCACGGCCAGAGACAUAGACACUGCCAUGAAGCUAGGUGCUAGCCAUCCCAUGGGGCCCUUCGAGUUGGCAGACUACGUGGGCAACGACACCACCAAGUUCAUCCUUGACGGUGAGGCCACCUCUUAUUGCUCGGCUGAAGCCAUGUGCGCCUGUACUUGGAAACAUACAGUUAACUACCGUGCUCCCAAGCUUAAUCAAACAACCACUUCACUUCUGUGAACCAUUCAUUUGAUCAUGGCAAACAUAAUACACUUCUACCUCAUUUAUUGGCUCUUUGAACUUCUGAAGUUUGAGGAUUCUGAAUUCGACUUUGUCCCUUAAAAAGUGAACUUCGAACACCCUUGUUGAAACGAGGAGGGGAAUGCAGAAGAGGCCGGACAACAGCCAGCGGUACAGUGUGUCCCGUGCCUGGGCAAACAAUUCUUAUGCUAUGAAGCAGUACCUUUUUUAUCGUCAACCCACUGGAAAAUAUCAAAUACUGUACAAUAUUUGGUAGUGUUUCAGGAUGACAUUCACGGAAUUCUACAAAGUGCUGUGUUAGUUUAACGUGCUGGAUUUACAGGCAUAUACUCCCAUGGACAGAGUCCAACACGAGCUGCCUAGAGCCAGAGGGAAAUAGAUACACCAUUUCACCGCAACUUGGAGGUGUUUGGAGAGGAUUUACAAUGAGAGGCUGAGGCAAUCCAUCCCAGCAGUAGAACCCCGAUUUUGCAAACACAGAUUUAACUAGGGCCAGGAAUUUUGCGAAAAUUCACGCAAAUUUCGCAUGAAAACGCGAAAAGUAAGUACAUUCGCGAAAAUCACAACAUUUCUAUAUUACACUGCGAAUAUAUCCCCGAAAAGUACCAUUACAGUAGAAUCCCGCCGAUGCGACCCCCCUCUGAUGCGUCCAUUCUGUUUAUACGACCGUUUUUUGAGAAACAGUGAAAAAUUUGAGCAGAGAAAGUCGAAAAUUUGAGUAAAAUCGGCUGAAAAACAAGCCUGUUUCACUUUGUUGGGCGGGAUGUGUUCACGUUUAUUUUGGCGAGAGCUGUACUGUAAGCAGGCAGGCAUACAAAAGACGGCUAAAAAUAGAUACCACCCCUCCAGACUGUCCACACCGCAGUGUCUAGCCGAGCUCGGCGCCUCCACUAUCGCACGAAAAGCCGUCUCAGCUGUCAUGUUAUAUUACCCGCCCGGCGGCUUGACGUCAUACGUGACGUGACGCGACGCUUACUUCUCCCAUCCCCUGCUAAUUCUUUAAGGCUCAUCCCUCCCAGAGCCACAAACCAUGUAAAAACAACCCCCCCCCCCACCCCUUUUUAACAGCUAACAUUUCAACACAUUCCCUCCCUUGUUUCAACCUUCUGCGUAAGAAACUGUCAGCAUUCUCCUCCCCUCCCACCCCGCGUGCGACAAAAGCCAGGUUGUAUAGUCUAUUCUCGGUAAAAUAAAUAUUUUUAUGGGCUUAUACGACUGUCCUUCGCCGUUGAUAAAUACUUUAUAAGUUUAAGUUAUUAUGAUACAAGUUGUUUAUUAGUCACAGCAGUUUCUGCUGAAAAAUCACUAAUACCUCGAAUUUUAUUGAAUAGAAAAAAUUAGCAGGGCCGUAAAUAUAUUUAUUUUACUGCAUAGUUACUUUUCCAUCUGCAUUCCGUGUUUUUUUCUUUUCUUUUUUUUUACGUUGUGAAGGGACGUGGAAAAGAUAAUUGCUUGAGCUGUCAAAAUAAACAUCGGGCAAGGGCGGGAGCGUAUCCUGUUAGUCUGUCGCUGUGAUUAUCUACUCCAAAAACAUGUCACAGCAUUUCAGGAUAGAAUUGUUCACACUAAGUUUCUUCUCAUUUGUGCGCCGGGGUUUGUUCAAGUGGCAACCCCGUGUUCCUCCACUCCAUUAUGCCAAUACCGUAUUAUUUUAUUGAAUGCAAGCAAACUCAAACUUUUGCACUCAACGAAAAAUAAAAAUAAUAUGAUGCCGAAUUCUAAACUACCGUGCACACUUGGCCGGAUAUGAGAACGUGUUAAUUGUAUUUUGCGAAAAGUGUAUAAAAUAUAUCAAAGCAAAAGAAUAACCUAAUAUCUUGUAUUUAUCCAAGUUGCGUUGUAUAUGGUAAAAUGUAAAGGUCCAGGUUAGCCAACAUAGCUUCUACUAACUUCUCAUGUAAGUGAAUGCUUCCUUACCGAAGAUCAUACAUUUCCCAGACUGUGAGAAGUUUUGUUUUGUGUAAAGCUAAACACAUAUGUUAGUGGCUAACGAAUUUAUAUUACCUUAGUUGUUUAUUUUGUGUAACUUCGUAAAUAGCAAGAGAAUAAGCAAAUAAUGAUUUUGCAGGUAGAAAAUUAGUCUGCGCAGCAAGACUGGGAGUGUGCGGGCAUGCGUGACUAUCAUCUUUGAAUAUGUAUACUGUAUAGAAGUCGCCAGCCCAGGUUACAAUUUCUAAUACGGUUUUGAGGUAGUUGGUUAAUUCACCGCCGCAAUCGCCACCAUCUCUAGGGCAUCGACUUGUGGUGGUCCCUAGCGGACAAGUGUCGAACUCUUCAAACACACCUUCCCCCUCCCGCUGAACGACCUUGAGCUGCAGUGAAUGAUUGGUGGGGGGUGCGGGGAAUGACAGCGGGCGACAGUGCUGCGCUCUAACGUGUAAAUAACAACUAAGACGAUACAGGGCGUUACGGCAGCGCACUGCAGCGGUGAAGUUCCCAAGCUGCUCAUCAUACGCUUCUGAAAAACGUAGAGUAAAUCCUAUCCACUCGCGACUUCUAUACAGUAUAUAUAUUCAAAGCUAUCAUACAGCCAGCAUCUGUUGUUGACGUCACGAGCCGCGACAGCAUUCCCAACGUAGUGACAUUCCACUGCUGAUAUUUAUUCGCGCGCCAAGUUUAGUUGAUUGUUUUCGUAACAGCCUGUAUGUAGUAUGUUGCAACAUACAUAUUUCUGUCUAGAGUUUGAAAAUGCCGAAUAAUACUUUGAGUGCUCGAGACCGAGCAUAUCAGUAUCAGAAACAUGGGUUUUAUUGUACUGACAAUAGCACAGUGAUGUGCAAAUUUUGCAACUGUAAAGUUUCAUGGGAAAGAAAAGAUUCCAUUGACAAACACCUAAAGUCGGCUAAGCAUGUGGCAUCGGCAGCCGAAAAAAAGAAAAUUUGUAGUUGCAAACAUCUAUAGCAAUGUGUCUGUUUUGUGUAACUGUUUUGGAUUUAAUUGGCUGUUAUUAUGCAUAUUAGUCUAUUCCUAGUAUACAUGGAUUGUUUAUUAAAUAUGUAAACUAUUAUAUUCAAUAACUGCAUUAUUUAGUCAACAUUUAAAAUACCGGUAAAAUUUCCAUUGCAUAACGAAAAUACCGACUUUAAACCACCGCUUUCCUAAUUUGAAAGUACCCGCUUUUUGCAUACUGAAAACACCGAAUUUUUCCAGGCCCUAGAUUUAACAAAAACAGCGAUUUAACGUAAAGGUUUUCAGGAACUAUCAAAAAACACCAAUUUAUUAAAUCAAUAACAUAGAUUUCCAAAAAAUGAAAGUAAAUUGUAAUGGAAACUUAUCAAAAAAUACACUCUGUGGUGUAAGUAAUAGAAUGGAGGUACUAUAUAUUAAUAUGUGCCUUGCAUCAUCUGUCCAAACACGAAAUAAUAAAAAAAAAAUUGUUCAAAUUGCUUAAAAACUUUGGGCGCUGUAACUGAAUUGCGUACGUAAUUGCGCGCACCUGGAUAGAUAAACUGUCCGCGACACAUGACGUCAUGAAGGGUUUCUUUGUCUGCAUCCCCCUCCCCCUCAUCUAACCCUGGCUUGACUCACCACGUUAUCUUUCAAUCACGCCCGCAUAGUAACAGUGCUAGCCAAUAAUCACACGUUUCAAAAUAUUCCCUUUCCCAUCCUCCAGGUUUUUUCAACUUGUGACCACGUCACACCAAUACGCCCUUGGCCCUUCCCUGUUAUGUGAAAUGUGAUCAUUAUUCUCAGUAAGAGCUUUGUGCGCAGUGUUUAGUUUUUGGAAUACGUUUUUUAUAAGUGCUGUUCGGACUUCGAUUUUUUGUGUUUCUUCUUGAAUUUUGAUUACAGAUUGCGAUUGGAAUUGACGACACUGCCUGUCGACGACCUGCUUAGCUUUUUUAUUGGUACAUGACUUUAUUUACUGUUUUUGGAUAUCGGCUUUGUUACGUUUUUUUAUGACGACUUGUUUAUGUUUUUUCAGCUUUGAUUGUGAAAUUAUAACAGUAUGAGUGGGAAAAAGCGUACUUCAUACACACUUCAGCAGAAGUUUGAAAUAAGGUAAACCUUGUUUCUACGUACACACACGGUUCUCCAAAAUUUGUCCGUACGACCGAGUUGUACAUACGAACAAGUGAGGCCAUAUUAUCGUAUUUACUCGCAUAAUGUCCGCAGCAAUUUGGCUACAUUUUUGACCAAAAAAAUGGGGUGCGGACAUUAUGAGUUGAAGUCUGUCGUUAUGUGCUGUUUUACUGAUAGCCUUAUUAGUUUGCUAACAGUUCUAAUACAUGUUUAACUCUCUGCCCAGUAAAAUUGACAGCCAAUAAUGUGAUUGCUAUGUCUUUUUCUGUAUUAGUUUUCUCUCAGUUUAUGUUGAAUGAAGUGUACAAUGAAAACCCUCGACUUGAAUAAUCUUAUAAUAUCCUGAAACUUUUCUUAUUUCAGAGUCUCGUAGAGCUAUUUUCUACCCAUUUUACACAAAUAAGAAGUCCGUUGAUUAUUUAUAUUCAAUAAAGUGCGGGUUGUAAACAACUAUUAACAAAAUUUAGCUUAGAGCACUUCUGAAUCUGAGUCCAAAAAAAAAGUGUGGGUUAUUCACAGUCGUGUAAUAAGUAGUCUACAAACAGUAAUGAAAACCAAGAGAGAUGGAAAAUAGUGCAAAUAAAGGUUGUUAUAAAUAUCAGAAGCAGAGAGGGCAGUGUUCAAGAGCAAGUUAUAUCACAAUAGUUGGCUGCGGGCUAGCGGCCGGCUGGCAGGCUAGAAUCCUGGAUCCGUUAUCUUUGGCAGGAGGUGGAAGAGGGUCAGGCAGGCGAGGUGUCACAUGCAGUACAGCGGUCGGAGUGCAACAACCUUCAAACAUGUUUUCUGCACAUUUCUUUAAAAAUUUUUUAAUUAUUUUUUUUUAACACAAAUAUUUUACUGUUCCUCAAAAAGAGUUUGUAAUACAGAAAUAGUUGUAAUAGAUAGGGUCGUAACAAUGGGCUUUUAAUAUAUUCAGAAUUCCAAUUUUACUCUGUCCAGCAAGCAAUUCUUCAUGUUCAAAAAAAAUUGUAAUUGAACCAUUUCAGUUGGUCAUAAACUAGAAAAUAGUGCCAUAAAUUGAUUGCAACAAGUGCAUUUUCAGUGCUGUUAGAGUCUGAGAAAGUUUAAAGACUGUAACACCCCUCGUGCCCUUGAUUUUUUAGUGUUAUAACACCUCUUAAAAGUCCUAGAAAACAGCUGAGCAACAAGCUACAAAAUUGACAUAAAAUUCGAACAUCAUCAGAGGUGGCACGAGGCGGGGAACAAAACAAUUUAGAAACUCCCUGCACACAACCCAUUUGGGAGUUAGUGGAUCAGUAGAUAUAUAUACCUAGGUACAGUCAAACCUCUCUGAAACGACCCCUCACGGUUCCCAGGAAUUGGGUCGUAAUAGAGGGGGGGUCGUAAUAGAUGUUUUCAGAAAUUUCCAGUUGAUUUAAACCCCCCCCCCCCCCCCCCCCC